GUGUCAACAAACCAGUCUGUUCUCUGUCUGUCUUUGGCGAUGGUCCGCCGCACGAUCAACAAUCCACAUUGCCAUCUAUCAUAAACCCUAAACGAUGGCGGUCCGGCGGCGCUCACGGCCUGAUAUCGAGUCCCACUGGAGCGUCACGGGCAGAUCUCGGGUUUGGAAGUACGAGUGCCGCCAGACACGCCUCGAGCCAGCGGGGAAAAUACGUGGAAAUCAAAUUGAGUCGCGCUGACACGGCAACACGUUCUUCGGAGUCUUGGCGCGAGGAGUGAGUGGUCGGGGCGAGUGCACGCCGCCAUGCCUGACCUCGACAACACGGCGACUAAUCAAAGGGAUGUCGGCCCGAAAUGUGAUUGAAAUUAAAACAGCCGAUGAUGCCCAACGAACACAAAGGUUGGUGUUGGGUUACUCUGCACCCCCACUCGCCAUCCACGCACACUCACGCAACCAAUCAACCAAGCCUCCGCUACCUGUGUGUGUGUGUGUGUGUGUGUGUGUGUGUGUGUGUGUGUGUGUGUGUGUGUGUAUCAGGUACUCCCAUACCAUGGUUCGUAUAUAAUGAGGAUUCUGUCACUACUUUUAUUCAUUUAUUCUUGGUUGUGAUUUUGUAGUUUUUUUAAAUAAACAUUUACGAAAAUA